UUGGAGGGCAAGUCUGGUGCCAGCAGCCGCGGUAAUUCCAGCUCCAAUAGCGUAUAUUAAAGUUGUUGCAGUUAAAAAGCUCGUAGUUGAAUUUCAGGCCUGGCUGGACGGUCCGCCCUUCGGGUGAGUACUGUCUGUGGUCGGGUCCUACCUUCUGGCGAAGCGUCAUGGCCUUAACCGGCCGUGGCGGGGAACCAGGACUUUUACUGUGAAAAAAUUAGAGUGUUCAAAGCAGGCAAUCGCUUGGAUACAUUAGCAUGGAAUAAUGGAAUAGGACAAUGGUUCUAUUUGCUGGUUUCUAGGACCGUUGUAAUGAUUAAUAGGGAUAGUUGGGGGCAUUAGUAUUCAAUUGUCAGAGGUGAAAUUCUUGGAUUUAUUGAAGACUAACUACUGCGAAAGCAUUUGCCAAGGAUGUUUUCAUUAAUCAAGAACGAAAGUUAGGGGAUCGAAGACGAUCAGAUACCGUCGUAGUCUUAACCAUAAACUAUGCCGACUAGGGAUCGGACGCAGUUAAUUUUAUAAUGACGUGUUCGGCACCUUACGGGAAACCAAAG
rnacentral:rRNA from 1 species